rnacentral:sRNA from 1 species
AGUUGGAUUGGCAGUGGUGUUUGCCACCAACUGAUCACCAGGUAGAUUUCCUUGUCCCUUCUCCACUCCCACUGCCUCACUUGAAUAGCCUGAA